GAUAAGAAUUUCAUGUCUUUUGUAUUAAAGAAUUAAAUGGAUGAAAUAUGAAGUUUUAUUAAAAGAAAAAGGGGUGAAAAGAACAAAGUUUUGUCCAUCUUUGUUCAUCAUAGCUGAAAGUUAGAGAAGAGAAAGGAGAGGAGAAAGCUCUUGAGUAUUUGGUCAUUAGGAGGAGGAAAAUUGAAGGAAAUCCCCAACCAUAGUGGGCUUGGAGCUGUGAGGGAAUUCGGAGUGGCCACCCGUUCUGAAAGUUUGAUUUUCUUCUGGUGAAUUGGACAUUCUUUUAAUUACGUUUGAGGUUUUGGGCUUUUAAAUGUAAUAAGGUCGCUUAUUUAUUUUUGAUGGUUUUUAAUAUGUAUUACUAAGAUAGGUAAUACUUAUUUUAACUGUUGAAAUUGGAUAACUUUAGGGCGCGUUUUCAAAAACAA